rnacentral:rRNA from 1 species
AUACGGAGGAUCCGAGCGUUAUCCGGAUUUAUUGGGUUUAAAGGGAGCGUAGGUGGACAGUUAAGUCAGUUGUGAAAGUUUGCGGCUCAACCGUAAAAUUGCAGUUGAUACUGGCUGUCUUGAGUACAGUAAAGGUGGGCGGAAUUCGUGGUGUAGCGGUGAAAUGCUUAGAUAUCACGAAGAACUCCGAUUGCGAAGGCAGCUCACUGGACUGCAACUGACACUGAUGCUCGAAAGUGUGGGUAUCAAACAGGAUUAGAUACCCUGGUAGUCCACACAGUAAACGAUGAAUACUCGCUGUUUGCGAUAUACAGUAAGCGGCCAAGCGAAAGCAUUAAGUAUUCCACCUGGGGAGUACGCCGGCAACGGUGAAACUUAAAGGAAUUGACGGGG